CAGAGGGAUAGUCAGGUUUUGCAAACUUUCUAUUGACUGCAACAAGUAUUGGCAUAGUUCUCUCAAGUGACCAGGAAGAAAUCACAUUCAGGAGGCAUCAUAUCAAACAGGGCCCGAUAUACUGUACAAAGCAGUUUUGACUUAUCUAUUGCUUAUCAGUUGUGAAGGAUGACAGUUGUUAUCAUCUCCAAUAGCCAACAGGACCAGUGCUGAAUGAUCUUUGAUUAUGCUAUCUAGGAAUGAUGAAAAUUAUAUCUGAAGAAUAUGGAGAGCAGCAGAUUAAAGAAGUUAUUAUAAUCUUUGUAGCACACAUCGUAAAAGAUAAAAUUCAGGUAUUCUAUCCCAAACAUCAUCAAAAAUGCACAACAAGGAAUGUUCUUUCU
rnacentral:lncRNA from 1 species